GAUCAUGGCUCAGGAUUUUGAACGCUAGCUACAGGCUUAACACAUGCAAGUCGAGGGGAAACGACAUCGAAAGCUUGCUUUUGAUGGGCGUCGACCGGCGCACGGGUGAGUAACGCGUAUCCAACCUGCCCACCACUUGGGGAUAACCUUGCGAAAGUAAGACUAAUACCCAAUGAUAUCUCUAGAAGACAUCUGAAAGAGAUUAAAGAUUCAUCGGUGAUGGAUGGGGAUGCGU
rnacentral:rRNA from 1 species